rnacentral:ncRNA from 1 species
UUAAAUACUGUGAAGGAAAGAGUAGUAAAUUAGUUUGCACAAAGAGAGUCGGCAGAUUUUGGUGAGAGCCGAAUGCAAUGAAAUUUAUGAAUAUGGCUCUAGAGUAUAUCGCUUGAAAUAAUAGUAGAGUGGUACGGUAGUAACCGUUACAUUACAAGGUAAUGAAUAGUUACUUAAUGAUGCUUUUAUUGUGAAGUAAAAGUAAAGUAGAGUGGUAAAGCGUAAUUUACGCCUCUAUG